UACGGGGGGGGCAAGCGUUGUUCGGAAUUACUGGGCGUAAAGGGUGCGUAGGCGGUUCGCUAAGUUGGAUGUGAAAACUCUGGGCUCAACCCAGAGCCUGCAUCCAAUACUGACGAGCUAGAGUUCUGGAGGGGAUAGCGGAAUUCCUGGUGUAGCGGUGAAAUGCGUAGAUAUCAGGAGGAACACCAGUGGCGAAGGCGGCUUCCUGGACCGGUUCUGACACUGAGGAGCGAAAGCGUGGGGAGCGAUCCGG
rnacentral:rRNA from 1 species